AUGCUCACUUUGGCAGCACAUAUACUAAAAUUGGAACAAUAAAGAGAAGACCAGCAUGGCCCCUACACAAGGAUGACAUGCAAAUUUGUGAAGCUUUCCCUAUUUUU
rnacentral:snRNA from 1 species